GGCGACGUAGCCAAGUGGUUAAGGCAGCGGUUUGCAAAACCGCCAUUCGUGGGUUCGAUUCCCACCGUCGCCUCCA
rnacentral:tRNA from 5 species